UACGUAGGGUGCAAGCGUUAUCCGGAAUUAUUGGGCGUAAAGAGCUCGUAGGCGGUUUGUCGCGUCUGCUGUGAAAACCCGAGGCUCAACCUCGGGCCUGCAGUGGGUACGGGCAGACUAGAGUGCGGUAGGGGAGAUUGGAAUUCCUGGUGUAGCGGUGGAAUGCGCAGAUAUCAGGAGGAACACCGAUGGCGAAGGCAGAUCUCUGGGCCGUAACUGACGCUGAGGAGCGAAAGCGUGGGGAGCGAACAGU
rnacentral:rRNA from 1 species